rnacentral:tRNA from 1 species
GUGAGGUGGGCUCAGCGGUAGAGCACCGGACUGUGGAUCCGGUGGUCGGGGGUUCAGAUCCCCUCGCUCACCCCA